AACGAACGCUGGCGGCGUGCCUAACACAUGCAAGUCGAACGAGAAAGGGGCUUCGGCCCUGAGUAAAGUGGCGCACGGGUGAGUAACACGUAGGUAACCUGCCUCUAAGAUUGGGAUAACAUGUCGAAAGACGUGCUAAUACCGAAUGAGACCACAGUUUCCUCGGAAACAGGGGUUAAAGGUAGCCUCUAUUUAUAAGCUAUCACUUAGAGAUGGGCCUGCGUACCAUUAGCUAGUUGGUAGGGUAACGGCCUACCAAGGCAAAGAUGGUUAGCUGGUCUGAGAGGAUGAUCAGCCACACUGGAACUGAGACACGGUCCAGACUCCUACGGGAGGCAGCAGUGGGGAAUAUUGCGCAAUGGGCGAAAGCCUGACGCAGCAACGCCGCGUGAGUGAUGAAGGCCUUCGGGUCGUAAAGCUCUGUCGGAGGGAACGAAUGUUUCUGAGGUUAACAGCCUCAGGAAGUGACGGUACCCUCAAAGGAAGCACCGGCUAACUCUGUGCCAGCAGCCGCGGUAAUACGUAGGGGGCUAGCGUUGUCCGGAAUCAUUGGGCGUAAAGCGCGUGUAGGCGGCCCGAUAAGUCCGCUGUGAAAGUCCAGGGCUCAACCCUGGGAUGCCGGCGGAUACUGUCGGGCUCGAGUCCGGAAGAGGCGAGUGGAAUUCCUGGUGUAGCGGUGAAAUGCGCAGAUAUCAGAGGAACACCAAUUGCGAAGGCAGCUCGCUGGGACGUUACUGACGCUGAGACGCGAAAGCGUGGGGAGCAAACAGAUUAGAUACCCUGGUAGUCCACGCCGUAAACGAUGGGCACUAGUGUGGGGGGUGUCGACUCCCUCCGUGCCGAAGCUAACGCAUUAAGUAUUCCG
rnacentral:rRNA from 1 species